UACGGAGGGUGCAAGCGUUAUCCGGAUUCACUGGGUUUAAAGGGUGCGUAGGUGGGCAGGUAAGUCAGUGGUGAAAUCUCCGGGCUUAACCCGGAAACUGCCAUUGAUACUAUCUGUCUUGAAUACCGUGGAGGUGAGCGGAAUAUGUCAUGUAGCGGUGAAAUGCUUAGAUAUCAGGAAGAACACCUAUGGCGAAGGCAGCUCUCUGGGACGGUACUGACGCUGAGACGCGAAAGCGUGGGGAGCGAACAGG
rnacentral:rRNA from 1 species